rnacentral:misc_RNA from 1 species
UGCCAAACCUUGUUAACAAAAAAUCACAUAUAUGGGUAACUGGAUUUCUUGCAUCGUUUUUCAAGUAUCUUGGGGGAGGCUAGACCUAUGCUCAAGGUGAAGACAUGCCCCAAAACUGCACCGUUCAGAUUUGUGCUGAAGGACNGGCCCAGUCCAGGAUAAAGGCCCUGACCCUUGCCCUUACAUGUCCCAACCGAUGACCUGUCCGUUGCUUUACAGGUGUUCUAUUUCAAUUCCCAAGACAUAUUUUCUAUUAUUUUUUUUCUG